UAUAUAUUAAAAAACAAUAGAUAUAAAUCUACAAGUUGAACCAUAUUUUUGAUUGACAUUACAAGAAGGAAUCACAUCACAUCAAAAUACAACACGAAUUCUCCGACUCUCUCUGUCUACUUGAAAUACAAGGAAAUAUUAUUUGUCGGCGAGACCCUGCAUCUUAUUGCAUCAUCACCACCAUUAUGAGUCUCAACACACACAAACACACACAAAUAAUUGAAAUGCUGUAUAUACCCAAAGAGUGGAGGUUAGAGACGGGCGUCGAGGGCGAGGAUGGUGCUGAGGUUCAUGGGGUUCAUAUAGUCGAGGGAUCCCGUGAGGAUCUGCCUAACAAUGAUUUUGUUAGCCUUUUCGGAAGGAUGAAACGGAUCCCAAAACGCAUACACCUCUCUAUUGGGACACAAAUUGGACAAGGGCGUGCAGAGCCCCAGCCCGUUGUAGGGCCCCUGGCCGCAGCAUGCCACCUUGGAUGUCACGAACCCAUACGCCUGCGGAUUGCGGAUGAAGUCCCUGUUGGUGAGCUGCGUGUUGGCCGCGAUGAACACGUUGCCCCGCACCUCCGAGUUCAGCUUCAGCAGCAUCUGCGUCAGCUGCGGGUUGAAGAGCGCCGCCGCCCGCUGCAGCUCCUCCGCGCACUGCCCGUUCCGGCUCCUCUGUGCCAGCUCCGCCGGCACGCACCCCAGCGGCCCCGUCCCCGUCACUAUCACCCUCCGAGCUCCCAUAUCGUAUAAUUUCUAUAUAUAUAUGUAGAAUUAAUUAAAUGGAGAUGGAGAUGGAGAUAUAUAUAGAGGCGUUAAUUAAUUACCCUGAGAAGCUUGUGGUAUUCGGAGAUUAGGUAGCGCACGUAGUCGGGGAGGGAGAACUGGCGGGACCUUGCGGAGAAAGGAACCAAAUAGUAGUUGUUGACGAAGUCGUUGCCGCCCAACGUCAUCAGCACCAGCGCUUGGUUCACCAGCCGUUUAGCCGCGCCGCCGCCCACCAAUGCCGACACUCUCGUUUGGUAUUGCUGGAAGUAUUCUAGCUGUUGGAAUGGCCUUAUUAUGUUCGCCUGCAUACACUCCAAAUUCGUAAGGAUACAUAUAUUCAUUUGGUAUAUAUAUAAAUGAGUUGUGUUGACUUACAAACUGAACUCCGGUGUCGUUCAGAAUCCCAACUCCGGCGGAGGCGAAGUUGGCUCCCACCAGCAGCCUCUGCCCGGUUAGGGCCGGACUCAAGUAGGGCAACGGCGACUCUCGCUCGCCGAUGCUCUGGCCUGCAACAUCGAUUCAAAUUAUUUAUUAAUCAUUCGUUUCAGAUGGAUAAUAUUAGUAAGAUGGCAAAACUGAACUGAUGAGAUCGGGAAUGUUGAGGCCGUUGGAGAAGCGGCCGGUGGGGCGGCGGGUGGGGUAGUCGAUGCCGUAAGGCGGGGCGUCGGCGCGUGCGGUCGUGGCUAAGUAGUUGUUGUUGCCGCUGUCGACGAGCGAAUCACCGAACACGAAGAAGGCUCUGCCCUCUACGCCCACGCCAUUUGUGGCUAAGAACAUGGCUGCAGUCACAAUAAUGGUGAAGGCAGAGGCAGCCAUUGUUGGAAGGGUAGAGCAAGAAGAGAAAGACACAAAACACACAGUGGCUGUGGAUGGAGAUGAGAUGGAUGCUGAAUUUGGUUGUAUAUAUAAGAGUAAGUGUUGUGUUAUACCCUGACAUAUAAAUGUGUAUUUUUCAGCAAAGAUUGUGGCUCUUUUGUUAUGGAAUUAAAUAUGGAGGAACCAUUGUGGUUGUAAAGGGGGGGAAAAGCGCCUCAAACUAAGCAAAGCAAAAUGUGAAGGGUGGUACAAUAGUACUCAAUUUGGACAGUUGAUAGGAGGUUUGAUCUAGCUAUCAUUAAAGAUUAUGUGCAUGCCAACAAAAUUAAUAUAAUCUACCUAUGUGGAAAUUAAAUAUAUCUACCAAGGUGGUUUCAUGUUUUAGGUGAAUCAGAAUGUACAUGCACAUAUAUAUAAAUUUAGUGGUUAUAGAUAUCCCAUCAAAUGGAAUUGAACAAUAUAUUGUUAGGUAACAAUAUGCCUUAUUAAUAUGGAUAUAGAUUUCGAAGAUCUUAAAAGGGUUGAAUGAUAGAGAUAGAAAAAUGCAAGACAAUUUGAAAAAGACUAAAAAAAAAGUCUUGCAAUUUUUGUUUCCCCAUAAUUAGAUAAUUCAAUUUGCAAAGAAUAUUAGCCAACUCUCUCUCACACACAUAUGCAAUGGUGAUAGGGCUGUAAGAACUUUUAGAUUUGUGAGAUAAAAGGGCAGCAUGUGAGCUGCAUUAAUGAAUUUCACAACGUUAUAGACAACUAACUACUCACGCAAGUUUACGUAAUAGUACAACUAGCAAGUUAUUUUAUAGGCAAGAGUCUCAAGAUAUACCUACAUAUUGUUAUAUCCAAUUAGUAGUGGCACUUCAUUUUUCUAGUCGGGUCCUUUAUUAUUAUUCACUCGAUUAAUUUUAAUUCUGUCUCAUACUUAUUAUUAUCAAUGUAUUCGAAUAUCAAUGUAUUCGACAUAUAUAUACUGUGUAGGGUGCGGUUAUAGUGAGAACCACAAUUAUCGUGAGAACAUAAGAACCAAUAAAAUUACUGCAUCUGCUAUACAAAUUAAUGCAUCCGCUAUUAAAUUUAAUGCAUCCGAAAAAAUAAAUUUUUUGCUCCCUUCAGGAUUCGAACCCAGCACCUGCAUCCAUCCACCAGGAUGAUGCAUCCACCGUAGAUCUUGAUGAUCGAAUGGCUUAAAAUGGUUCUCCGUUCUUAUUUUAUUAGUGGUUCUUAUUUGAACAUCUCCCAUAGUGUAUAUAUAUAAUAUAGAAUCAAGGCUAAUUCUAAUCACAAACUUCAUUUUACUCGCUAUAAUCUCCCGUAUAAAAUAUAUAAUAAUAUAAAUAAUUAUAAAUUUACUAUUUUAUCCUAUAAUUUAUAGCCUCAAGUUAAAUGUGAUUUUUUUUUAUAGUCAAAUUAACUACACAUAAAUCCAAUUCACGACAAAAAUUCUUCUUGAUUUUUUUCAUAAAUUAAAUUCCAAAUUUGACUAUAACCCCAACCACGCAACUCAACACCAGAAGUCUUCAAGAGGCUUUCAUAAAAAAUAAAAUAGAUGCAAUUGACGAAGAUGAAUUUAGAGUAUUAAUUUUUGGUGCAAAUGUCAUGAUCCGUAAUUUCGUAUCGCAUUUCAUGAAAUAGAAGGUUGAGUCCAUGUUGCAUUUUGAGUUGUAAUGACGGUAAAUUGAUUUGUUGGGUUCAGGUUGAAAAUAAUUAGUCAUUUCUUAAAUAUGAAGAUCUGAUGGUAGGAAAUGUCUUAGAGGUGGACUUUCUAUAUAAAAUUCUAAGUUGUAAUAAUAUAGGGGGAAUUGAUUGUGGUAAGUUUAAAGGUAGUUGAUUGAAAGCUAGAAUUGUGAUAUUUUGAUGGGUUUAGGUUGAUGAUUGGGUUGGACUUCGGACUGCGAUGCAUGAAUUAGUACCUCCUCUGUUUCACAAGAGAGUCUACUUUUUGUUAUUUUUAUAUAUUCAUAAAAGUGUGUAUUUUUUAUUUUUAAAUACUAUUUUACUAUAAUAUUACAAGAAGAUAAGUCUCAUUCUCCACUCCAAUAUACUCAUCUAACAUUUAUUAAAACACGUGUCACUAAAAGUGAUACACACUCCUAAAUAAAGAUAUCAAUAAAGCCUGCAUAGGAAGUUUACUUGUAUAAAUUCAUUUUCGAUUAUUUUUCUUAAUCCUUGUGUAAAUUCCAAUUAGCGUGCGCGCGCGCGCACACACACACACACACAUAUAUAUAUAUAUACACACACACGGGACAUAUGGAGUAUUAAACUUGUUCAUUAGUUUUUCAUAAUAUUUCAUAAAAAUAUUUAUAUUAAUAUUCUUGUAAUAAAGCAAAAAAAAAUGUAAUAGUAUUAAAAUAUAUAUUAAAAUUCUUUUUCAAAAAUCGUCAACUUCCAUAAUUUUUUAUUAAAGCGAAAAAGUGUGUAUAUAUUAAAUUCAUUCAUUAGCUUUUAUAAAUAUUCCAUAAAAAUAUUUAUAUUAAAAUUCGUUUGAAAAUUUGUCGGAUUUGCUACGACGAUGAUAGCAUUGUGGAUAUGAACUUUUCAAUUUUUAUGGAAGAAGAUAACAGUUGUGGAUCUGAUUCGAAGAAUUUCUGGGAGACGCAGGGAACCGUGAGGAAUCGCUAGAAUUUCCUUGGAUUACCGGGAAACACAUGGGAUUUGCGGUGAUUUGGAAUAUGAUUUUUUAGUGGUGCCCUUGGUUGACAAACUCGCCGAAAUUCUGAAUUUUUACUCCAUUCGUCUAGUUCACACGAGGCCCCCAUCGUCUUCUCCAAAGCGUGUGAACUGUUCAUCAAGGAGUUAACGAAGAGAGCGUGGGAGAUGACGCUGCAAGGGAAAAGAAGGACAAUGCACAAGGAAGAUGUGGCUGCUGCUGUCAUGGAAACUGAUAUUUUCGAUUUUCUUGUUACCCUCGUUUCUCACUCUCCUACUGCUGCUUAGGGUUUCAUAUGUAUCUCUCUAUCUCUCUCUCUCUACACACACACAUAUUUCAUAUCCUCUUUUUUUUUGUUAACAAUAUAUAUCAUUUUCUGCAUUUUGUUUAGUGUUUAUCAUUGCCAAGCUAUAUAUCAAUGGAUUAAAAUAAGAUAUGCGAGUUA
rnacentral:lncRNA from 1 species